rnacentral:rRNA from 1 species
UACGGAGGAUGCAAGCGUUAUCCGGAAUGAUUGGGCGUAAAGAGCUCGUAGGCGGUCUGUCGCGUCUGCUGUGAAAACUCAGGGCUUAACCCUGAGCUUGCAGUGGGUACGGGCAGACUAGAGUGCGGUAGGGGAGACUGGAAUUCCUGGUGUAGCGGUGAAAUGCGCAGAUAUCAGGAGGAACACCGGUGGCGAAGGCGGGUCUCUGGGCCGUAACUGACGCUGAGGAGCGAAAGCAUGGGGAGCGAACAGG